rnacentral:lncRNA from 1 species
GCUCUGUCGCCCAGGCUGGAGGGCAGUGGCGCAAUCUCGGCUCACUGCAGCCUCGAACUCCUAGGCUGAAGCGAUUCUCCCGCCUCAGCCUCCAAAGUAGCCGGUACUACAGGCGCGCGCCACCACGCCUGGCUAAGAAAUAACCAUGGAUAUGGGUAGAGACAGAGCCAUAUGGAAUGCACACUGCAGUGGUGAACACAUGGCCCAGCUCUGCCAUCAAGGAGAAGGAACAUGAAUGGAGCUGGAGGCCAUCAUCCUUAGUGAACUAACACAGGAGCAGAAAACCAAAUACCACAUGUUCUCAUGUGUAAGUGGGAGCUAAAUGAUGAGAACACAUGGACACAAAGAGGGGAACAACAGACACUGAAGCCUCCUUGAGGGAGGAGGGUAAGAGGAAGGAGAAGAUCAGAAAAGAUAACUACCAGGUACUAUGGUAGCUUAGUACCUGGGUGAUGAAAUAAUCUGUACACCCAACCCUCAUGACAGAAGUUUACCUGUGUAACAAACCUGCACAUGUAUCCCUGAA